ensembl:lncRNA
AUGCAACUUACUAUUUUCCAAAAUAGAAACCCUUUUCAUCCACCGCCAGGCAUCAGCUCUACAUUUACAAUCUUCCCACCUUGAUGUCUUUGGAAUGCAAGCUCCAGAGCCCUAUUUCCAGACACGUCCCUUUACCGAAAAUGUCAAUAUCCCGAUGGAGAAUGCUUAUGAUCAUCAACAAAUGAUGCACCUGAUGCCACAUGAGACUUUCAGCGGCAGUAAUUUCGUGUGUCCCACUUCUUCGCAGUGGUCUAAUGGAUAUAUUCCUUCUAACACGGACCUCUAUGGUACUAGCCUGGUAUCGAGAUCACCCUCUGAUACUUUCAAUCUCCCAAGUCCAGUCGACUACAACAGUUACUCUCCCCCUCAGUCCAACUCUUCAUCUUCUUCGUGCUACAGCUCUCCAACGCGGAUGGAUUUGAGCUCUAGUUUCUCUCCAGAAAAUUACCACUAUCAGCAUUGCAACCUACAGAAUUGCUUUUGUCUUUCGCAUUGGUCCAAUCUGCAGGAAGGCAUGGCAACCUCGGAGUUUGCGCCCUACGGCUCUUCAGACUGUUUGUAUUCAUAUGGCGACGACAGUUAUUUCAGAAGGGAUACUUCAAACUCAGAGAUGUGUUUCUUAUAAAAUGCAUUUUGAAGCUCUUUGCGCGAAAAUUCAGUGUCAUAAUUGAUUUAUUUGAAUGCAUUUGUUGUAUUUUAGAUUAGAUAAAAGAACAAGCAGUGAUAGAAUGCAUGAUUUACAAAUUAUUCAUUUAUCUUUUCUACAAUAAACAUAUUUUUUUCGUAAUUAUACUGGCAUUGGGGAAAUAUUUCAGAUUUACAGCGUGCAGUUUCUGUUUUCACUCUUGAAAUGUACAUCGGAGCUUCGAUAGUUUUUUUUUUUUUUACGUACAAAUACAGCUGUGGUACUGAGGGCUCAUUUAUUGUUUUGUAUAUCAACAUUCGACAUUAUGAAAAAUACCAGAAGAAAGCUUAACAAUGUGUUAUUUAUAAAAACAGAUUUUGUCCUGUAACUACAGCUGUUAACAUUUUUAUUUGCUCCUAACAAAUACACUGUAAAUGUCAACUCACACCGAAAACAUAAGUUUAAUCGUCUUCAUUAUUGUAAAGUAAAAACAAAGCAUGCAUUGCACUUUUUCAACCACUUUACUGAUUAAAUAUAAAGCUCACAAAAUUAGUUCAUUUGCAGAAGUUGUUUCUUAUAAGAAUAUUUGAUGAUUUAAGAUUUAUCUCACACCACAAACUGAUCAUGGAACAAGAAGUCAUUUUCACA